GGGUUGUGAGGUUAAGCGACUAAGCGUACACGGUGGAUGCCCUGGCAGUCAGAGGCGAUGAAGGACGUGCUAAUCUGCGAUAAGCGUCGGUAAGGUGAUAUGAACCGUUAUAACCGGCGAUUUCCGAAUGGGGAAACCCAGUGUGAUUCGUCACACUAUCAUUAACUGAAUCCAUAGGUUAAUGAGGCGAACCGGGGGAACUGAAACAUCUAAGUACCCCGAGGAAAAGAAAUCAACCGAGAUUCCCCCAGUAGCGGCGAGCGAACGGGGAGCAGCCCAGAGCCUGAAUCAGUGUGUGUGUUAGUGGAAGCGUCUGGAAAGGCGCGCGAUACAGGGUGACAGCCCCGUACACAAAAAUGCACAUACUGUGAGCUCGAUGAGUAGGGCGGGACACGUGGUAUCCUGUCUGAAUAUGGGGGGACCAUCCUCCAAGGCUAAAUACUCCUGACUGACCGAUAGUGAACCAGUACCGUGAGGGAAAGGCGAAAAGAACCCCGGCGAGGGGAGUGAAAAAGAACCUGAAACCGUGUACGUACAAGCAGUGGGAGCACGCUUAGGCGUGUGACUGCGUACCUUUUGUAUAAUGGGUCAGCGACUUAUAUUCUGUAGCAAGGUUAACCGAAUAGGGGAGCCGAAGGGAAACCGAGUCUUAACUGGGCGUUAAGUUGCAGGGUAUAGACCCGAAACCCGGUGAUCUAGCCAUGGGCAGGUUGAAGGUUGGGUAACACUAACUGGAGGACCGAACCGACUAAUGUUGAAAAAUUAGCGGAUGACUUGUGGCUGGGGGUGAAAGGCCAAUCAAACCGGGAGAUAGCUGGUUCUCCCCGAAAGCUAUUUAGGUAGCGCCUCGUGAAUUCAUCUCCGGGGGUAGAGCACUGUUUCGGCAAGGGGGUCAUCCCGACUUACCAACCCGAUGCAAACUGCGAAUACCGGAGAAUGUUAUCACGGGAGACACACGGCGGGUGCUAACGUCCGUCGUGAAGAGGGAAACAACCCAGACCGCCAGCUAAGGUCCCAAAGUCAUGGUUAAGUGGGAAACGAUGUGGGAAGGCCCAGACAGCCAGGAUGUUGGCUUAGAAGCAGCCAUCAUUUAAAGAAAGCGUAAUAGCUCACUGGUCGAGUCGGCCUGCGCGGAAGAUGUAACGGGGCUAAACCAUGCACCGAAGCUGCGGCAGCGACGCUUAUGCGUUGUUGGGUAGGGGAGCGUUCUGUAAGCCUGCGAAGGUGUGCUGUGAGGCAUGCUGGAGGUAUCAGAAGUGCGAAUGCUGACAUAAGUAACGAUAAAGCGGGUGAAAAGCCCGCUCGCCGGAAGACCAAGGGUUCCUGUCCAACGUUAAUCGGGGCAGGGUGAGUCGACCCCUAAGGCGAGGCCGAAAGGCGUAGUCGAUGGGAAACAGGUUAAUAUUCCUGUACUUGGUGUUACUGCGAAGGGGGGACGGAGAAGGCUAUGUUGGCCGGGCGACGGUUGUCCCGGUUUAAGCGUGUAGGCUGGUUUUCCAGGCAAAUCCGGAAAAUCAAGGCUGAGGCGUGAUGACGAGGCACUACGGUGCUGAAGCAACAAAUGCCCUGCUUCCAGGAAAAGCCUCUAAGCAUCAGGUAACAUCAAAUCGUACCCCAAACCGACACAGGUGGUCAGGUAGAGAAUACCAAGGCGCUUGAGAGAACUCGGGUGAAGGAACUAGGCAAAAUGGUGCCGUAACUUCGGGAGAAGGCACGCUGAUAUGUAGGUGAAGUCCCUCGCGGAUGGAGCUGAAAUCAGUCGAAGAUACCAGCUGGCUGCAACUGUUUAUUAAAAACACAGCACUGUGCAAACACGAAAGUGGACGUAUACGGUGUGACGCCUGCCCGGUGCCGGAAGGUUAAUUGAUGGGGUCAGCGCAAGCGAAGCUCUUGAUCGAAGCCCCGGUAAACGGCGGCCGUAACUAUAACGGUCCUAAGGUAGCGAAAUUCCUUGUCGGGUAAGUUCCGACCUGCACGAAUGGCGUAAUGAUGGCCAGGCUGUCUCCACCCGAGACUCAGUGAAAUUGAACUCGCUGUGAAGAUGCAGUGUACCCGCGGCAAGACGGAAAGACCCCGUGAACCUUUACUAUAGCUUGACACUGAACAUUGAGCCUUGAUGUGUAGGAUAGGUGGGAGGCUUUGAAGUGUGGACGCCAGUCUGCAUGGAGCCGACCUUGAAAUACCACCCUUUAAUGUUUGAUGUUCUAACGUUGACCCGUGAUCCGGGUUGCGGACAGUGUCUGGUGGGUAGUUUGACUGGGGCGGUCUCCUCCUAAAGAGUAACGGAGGAGCACGAAGGUUGGCUAAUCCUGGUCGGACAUCAGGAGGUUAGUGCAAUGGCAUAAGCCAGCUUGACUGCGAGCGUGACGGCGCGAGCAGGUGCGAAAGCAGGUCAUAGUGAUCCGGUGGUUCUGAAUGGAAGGGCCAUCGCUCAACGGAUAAAAGGUACUCCGGGGAUAACAGGCUGAUACCGCCCAAGAGUUCAUAUCGACGGCGGUGUUUGGCACCUCGAUGUCGGCUCAUCACAUCCUGGGGCUGAAGUAGGUCCCAAGGGUAUGGCUGUUCGCCAUUUAAAGUGGUACGCGAGCUGGGUUUAGAACGUCGUGAGACAGUUCGGUCCCUAUCUGCCGUGGGCGCUGGAGAACUGAGGGGGGCUGCUCCUAGUACGAGAGGACCGGAGUGGACGCAUCACUGGUGUUCGGGUUGUCAUGCCAAUGGCACUGCCCGGUAGCUAAAUGCGGAAGAGAUAAGUGCUGAAAGCAUCUAAGCACGAAACUUGCCCCGAGAUGAGUUCUCCCUGA
rnacentral:rRNA from 1 species